rnacentral:rRNA from 1 species
UACGUAGGGGGCAAACGUUGUCCGGAAUCAUUGGGCGUAAAGCGCGCGUAGGCGGCCCGGUAAGUCCGUUGUGAAAGUCAAAGGCUCAACCUUUGAACGCCGAUGGAUACUGCCGGGCUAGAGUCCGGAAGAGGCGAGUGGAAUUCCUGGUGUAGCGGUGGAAUGCGCAGAUAUCAGGAGGAACACCAAUAGCGAAGGCAGCUCGCUGGGACGGUACUGACGCUGAGGCGCGAAAGCGUGGGGAGCGAACAGG